UAACUUUCACUACUUUUAGCUUGGCUUGACUUUACUGCCGUCCUAAAGGAAGAAAAGAAAAAAAACAAGUAAAAGACGAAAGGAGGAUAUGAUAGCUUCCUCUUUAUGUUCGAAAUAACAACUUUCUUUUAUAUAGAAAUAUUGUAUAUAGAGAAUUGUUUUCUUUCUUUUUUCCUUCGUUGAGACCGGGAAUGGUAAAAGAAAUCCAAGAGCAUGUGUUAGAGGGGUUCUUUGCUUUGUCACCGCUAAAGCUUGAGGUUUUUCCAAAAGACCACCCCCAAGAGGCUUUUUCUCACAGCUUUUCUCUGCCCGACUUACCGGAUUUUGAUUUGGCUGUUCGCCCCGAACAAGGGGACGAUCUCGUUUUAAUCGCUCUCGCGCGUAUCGUUCAUUUUGCGCAUUCUUCUGUCUUUCUAGAGCAGUCGUUUAGGUUU
rnacentral:lncRNA from 1 species